rfam:Desulfotomaculum hydrothermale Lam5 = DSM 18033, WGS project CAOS01000000 data, contig: ABX_2590_15
GACUAGCGAUGAAGUGGAAGGUUGCUCGCCUUGUGAGGUAAUUUUCACGGAGCAGUCCGCAAAUCGGACGA